rnacentral:lncRNA from 1 species
CUCCAAUGGGCCUGCCUACCAGAUAAGCUACAAGAUGAAAGUGAGUUGCACAAGAUUCUGUUGCCCAGAGCACGCAGUUCAGUCUCUGUUACUCCUCUGUUCAACCAGAUGCUAUACAAGAAACGACAUUCUCUCUCUUUCAAAAAGGAGUUAAUCGAGGGGAGAUACGCAGGGAUGUUGAAGUCGGUGGAGUUGACAAGCCUCUCUCCAGGUCACAUAGGAAUCAGUGAUAGAGAUGUAUCUGGAAGUGGGCAUGAAUCCCGAACUGUCAGUCUCUGCUUCCCUAUGGCUGCUGCUUAUCUCACAGUCACCUUUGUCUUUGAAAGCCUUCUUGACCCAGGAGGAAAUUUAAUGAAUCAGCAGCGAAUGCCUGCUGGCUGAGAGCAGAAGGUUUAUGAUGGAGUAGACUUGUAAUCGAGACCUAAGUGUUAGAAUGACUAAGAGUGAAUGGCUGAUGGGACACACGCUCUCCUUGAAAGCUUCUGCGUGCUGGAGGCAGGACCACCAGUCAUACAGCAUAUGGUGAACAGUAUUGCUGAAACAAACCUACUUUUCUCUUCAUAAAAGAUAUACAAUAGUGAAAGGAUAUUUUUACAACUGUUUGCGUGUAUGUUUUGUUGGUGGGUGGUUGGUUGGGUUUUUUUUUGACUGAAGUUAUUUAGGGACACAUAGAAGUUCCAUUGCUUUCAGUCAGAUAGCAGGUGUGUGACUGCUCUUGAACAGUUGCAUCAGCUUUGUGACAAUCAGGAUCUGUAUUUUCAACGUGUGCACUGAAAGUUUUGCUCCCCUUCAGACAGAAGGGUUUAGAUGUUUUUGAUGCUAAAAUUAGAAUGCUGAAAGGUUUUAGGAACACCCGUGCCUUUGAUUUGAUUAGCUGAGCUCUGAUCCUCAUUGAGGUUCGGUACGGGAAACCUCUAAGUGAUUUGGAUAGCUUCGUAUGUUUAUAUGUUUUUCUACCUUGUGUUGCUGAUAU